CAGGUGUCCUCCCUCCUCCAAAACAGGAAAACCUAAAUUCUAACUGAAUCGUUUUGAAUUUGAAUUUCAUUUCACUGAUAAUGCAAUUGGAACAAGGAAAGCUUUGUGAUGCAGUAAGAAGAAGGUGAACUUUGAAGUCCAAGAGAUUCUUGACAACUUUUCUGUCUUGAAGAGUGAAAUGAUGCAGACCCCUCGAUGAGGUGCUAAGCUUUACCAGCUAAUGACUCGGAUACCAGUGACACCAGAAGCAGGGUGCUGAGAGAGAAAAUGAACGUGCUGUUGCUGUGAGAACUGUGUCAGAUUGUUUUACAUUUCUUAAUUCCCCUUGAUUCCUGGUUUUCAUUCCUCCAUCUGUUUCUCCAUAGUGAUUGGUAUUUAAACUCUAAAAAGAACAUGUGCUGCUGGAAUAAGAUGUUUUAUUUAAAUAAAAGGAUAGAUAUCUGAUAAUGUG